GACGAACGCUGGCGGCGUGCUUAACACAUGCAAGUCGAACGGAAAGGCCCUGCUUUUGUGGGGUGCUCGAGUGGCGAACGGGUGAGUAACACGUGAGUAACCUGCCCUUGACUUUGGGAUAACUUCAGGAAACUGGGGCUAAUACCGGAUAGGAGCUCCUGCUGCAUGGUGGGGGUUGGAAAGUUUCGGCGGUUGGGGAUGGACUCGCGGCUUAUCAGCUUGUUGGUGGGGUAGUGGCUUACCAAGGCUUUGACGGGUAGCCGGCCUGAGAGGGUGACCGGCCACAUUGGGACUGAGAUACGGCCCAGACUCCUACGGGAGGCAACAGGGGGGAAUAUUGCACAAUGGGCGGAAGCCUGAUGCAGCAACGCCGCGUGCGGGAUGACGGCCUUCGGGUUGGAAACCGCUUUCGCCUGUGACGAAGCGUGAGUGACGGUAAUGGGUAAAGAAGCACCGGCUAACUACGUG
rnacentral:rRNA from 1 species